rnacentral:rRNA from 1 species
CAGCAGCCGCGGUAAAACAGAGGGUGCAAGCGUUAAUCGGAAUUACUGGGCGUAAAGCGCGCGUAGGUGGUUUGUUAAGUUGGAUGUGAAAGCCCCGGGCUCAACCUGGGAACUGCAUCCAAAACUGGCAAGCUAGAGUACGGUAGAGGGUGGUGGAAUUUCCUGUGUAGCGGUGAAAUGCGUAGAUAUAGGAAGGAACACCAGUGGCGAAGGCGACCACCUGGACUGAUACUGACACUGAGGUGCGAAAGCGUGGGGAGCAAACAGGAUUAGAUACCCGCGUAUCCCUGUCUCUUAUACA